GCCUGGCCCGCGAGGCCCCACCCAGCGCCCAGGGGCCGAGCCGGGCGCGCUCGCGCCCGGCGUGCGGCGGCCCGCGCCCCUCGCUCCCGCGGAAGGGGGAGGGAGGGGGUCUGUGGCUGGCGCGCGCCAGGGGGCCAGGCCCUCAAAUCCGCGGCCCUUGGGCCCCCGCUCCUCCCCUCCCCGCCCCCGCCGACCGUGGCCCCGUCAGCGGAAACCCGGCUUUUCCGGGACUCGGUCCCGGCAGCGAGGGGGUUGCUGCGGGAGCGCGCCUCGGCCCCUCUCGUCUGCGGAGCCUAAGCCGGGGAACUUGCUCUCCGCCUGCCGACCUGGCCCUGCCCUGCGGCGCCAGCAAACGGAGCGGUCGGCGGAGACCCGGGGCCCGUCGCCACCGCGGGUGCCUGUGAUCCGGGAAGCCUCCGCCCUGAGAGCAGGCGGGGGCUCAGGAACCUGGAGUCCAUAAGGUUCUUCGCACGAGUGAAUUCUCAAGCUAUGCCGGGGCCCAUCUGAAGCCAAGCUUCCUCUUUCCCUACAGCUCCCCUACCCCCAAAAUCCUUCCUCGAUGCUUUGUCGCUUACAGAUUUCUGAAAUUCCAUUCCUCCUAAGGCCUAGCACAGCUGCAACAUCCUAUCUGGAUCACCACCCCCUCAAACCAUCGUGAACCCUCCAGCAAGUGAGCGCCUAGUGCACUUACACCAACAGUGGCACCACAGCAGGGCCAGACUCCCCUCCCCACAGGCUGGCAAGUGCCCAAGGGAGCCAGUGGUCCAGCCUGCUCCAGUGUGUCAGAAAGGCUGUCCAGGACCAGGGGAUUUGAACCUGGAGAAAGCAAGUCCCUCCAUCCCACACACACAAAUCCCAGCGACUACUGUUGCUUGAACCCAAGGACUCACACGGACUCAAGACAAUUUAGCUUUUAAGCUAUGUUCUCGAACAGAUUCCUCUCAGACUUGGCUGAGCUCCUCCCCAUCACCGUCCUUAAAGAGGGCAGCCCACUGGAGAUUUCUAAGAUUUCCAAAUCUAAGGAAGUGCAGGGCAGCAAGCAGAGGCCACCCUCACUCUGACCACUAGGGGGCACUACGCCACUGGAAAUCGGCAGGCCAGGGUCCCUGGCUCUCACUCAGCCCAGCCCCCUGGAAGCACCUACCUUCUGUUUGGCAGCAUGCUCAGCCACCAUGUCGCUGAAGUCCUCCUUCUCCACUUGAGCCUGCUGCUCCCGCACAUGCUCCUCAUACUUCUGGGUCAUGGCCAUAGGAUCCAGCUCCAACUCUUCAGGCGCCAGGGCCACUUCCACACCUUGCAGCUCAGGAGCCGGGCCCUUCCGGCUCAUAACCUGGAAAGGGGAUCAGGGCUUUGUCAUCUCCAAAGACAGUCACUGAGGCCCUAGUUUGUGCUGCCUUUCUCAGCCUCCAAAAGCAGUGUCCUUCAAGUACUCACCGUGGACAUGUCAUAAAUGUGGGUUGAUCCCAUCAUGGCUCCCCCAACAGUGGCUGUUCUCUUCUCUGGCAACACAGUGAAGAGCUGAGGUGUCUCACUUCUGCAAAGGACAAUGGGAUCAGGCCCAAAAAGGAAGGGACAAAAGGGUCCCCAGCAGUGGAAACAAAAGAAACAGGUGGCACCACCACUCAGUGCCUUGGAGAGCUUCUGAGCUCCCCAGGGAUGCAGCCUCCAGUUCAUGGAGGCCCAUGACAGAAAAUAAUUGGGUAGGGGAGGGUGGCACAGUGCCGACUCCAGGGAACAGAGAUGGAGCUAAGGGGCCCCCUGAACCAAGUUAGGGGAUCACAGACCAGGACUCCCACAUGCAUACAAGGAUCAAAAAGUCAGAGAGCCUAAAAGUUUCCAAGAGAACUUUGGUACAGAGAAGCUGGCAAGAGAGCAGGCUGUAACAGUUCCCACCCAAAGAAUGUCAUGCCUGGAGUUCUAAUGUACACAGUUCACACUUCCAGGCCUUCCAAUGCAAGAGCCAUCCACAGCCAGUUUCACUACCAAUUUCAAGAAUUACACUAGGAACAAGAGCAAAUCUACCACUAUCACCCCAGACCAUGUCCCUCAUCUCUACCUCUCCCACUGGAAGAGGUGACAAUCUAUUCGCCACACAGGAGCCAGAGUAAAUGCCUUAAAAUGGAAGUCAGGUCUUGUCAGACCUUUGCUUAAAACCGUCUGAGGCUUCUGUCCAUUAUCUGAAUAAAAUCCAAACUCCUUACCAUGA